CACAGACAACCAGGAUGUUGGCUUAGAAGCAGCCACUCAUUCAAAGAGUGCGUAAUAGCUCACUGGUCGAGUGAUCCUGCGCCGAAGAUUUCCGGGGCUAAAACUUACUACCGAAGCUACGGCAUCAGUAAUGAUGGGUAGGGGAGCUUCCCAUACGGGUUGAAGCAUGACCGUAAGGACAUGUGGACAGUAUGGGAGUGAGAAUGUUGGCAUGAGUAGCGAGAUGUGGGUGAGAAUCCCACAGGCCGUAAACCCAAGGUUUCCAGGGGAAGGUUCGUCCGCCCUGGGUUAGUCGGGACCUAAGCUGAGGCCGAAAGGCGUAGGUGAUGGACAACAGGUUGAUAUUCCUGUACUACCGAUAACCGUUUGAGAGAAGGGAUGACACAGUAGGAUAAGCUAAGCACACUGUUGGUUAUGUGUGCCCAAGCAUUGAGGCAGUCAAAGUAGGCAAAUCCGCUUUGAUAAUGCUGGGAUG
rnacentral:rRNA from 1 species